GACGAACGCUGGCGGCGUGCUUAACACAUGCAAGUCGAACGGAAACGCCCUGCUUUUGUGGGGUGCUCGAGUGGCGAACGGGUGAGUAACACGUGAGUAACCUGCCCUUGACUUUGGGAUAACUUCAGGAAACUGGGGCUAAUACCGGAUAGGAGCUCCUGCUGCAUGGUGGGGGUUGGAACGUUUCGGCGGUUGGGGAUGGACUCGCGGCUUAUCAGCUUGUUGGUGGGGUAGUGGCUUACCAAGGCUUUGACGGGUAGCCGGCCUUAGAGGGUGACCGGCGACAUGGGGACUGAGGUACGGCCCAGAGGGCUAUGGGAGGCAGCAGGGGGGAGUAUUGUCCAAUGGGCGGAAGCCUGAUGCAGAAACGCUCGGUGCGUGAUGACGGCCUGCGGGUUGUAAACAGCUUUCGCCUGUGACGAAGCGUGCGUGACGGUAAUGGAUAAAGAAGCACCGGCUAACUACGUG
rnacentral:rRNA from 1 species